rnacentral:rRNA from 1 species
GAUGAACGCUAGCGGCAGGCCUAAUACAUGCAAGUCGAACGGGAUUAAGAGGCUUGCUGCUUAUGAGAGUGGCGCACGGGUGCGUAACACGUAUGCAACCUACCUUCAACUGGGGGAUAGCAUUCCGAAAGGGAGAUUAAUACAGCAUAAUAUAAUUGAGUGGCAUCACUUGAUUAUCAAACGUCAGCGCUGACGAUGGGCACGGGUCCGAUUAGUUUGUGGGUGAGGUAACGGCUCACCAAGACUACGAACGGUAUGUGAUCGGAGAGGAUGGCCCCCCACACUGGAACUAAGACACAGACCAGACUCCUACGGGGGGCAGCAGUAAGGAAUAUUGGUCAAUGGACGGAAGUCUGAACCAGCCAUGCCGCGUGCAGGAAGACGGUCCUCUGGAUUGUAAACUGCUUUUGUUAGGGAAGAAACUUCCGUACGUGUACGGGACUGACGGUACCUAAAGAAUAAGGAUCGGCUAACUCUGUGCCAGCCGCCGCCGUAACAC